UACGUAGGGUCCGAGCGUUGUCCGGAAUUAUUGGGCGUAAAGGGCUCGUAGGCGGUUUGUCGCGUCGGGAGUGAAAACACGGGGCUUAACCCCGUGCCUGCUUCCGAUACGGGCAGACUAGAGGUAUGCAGGGGAGAACGGAAUUCCUGGUGUAGCGGUGAAAUGCGCAGAUAUCAGGAGGAACACCGGUGGCGAAGGCGGCGUCCUGGACCAACACUGACACUGAGGAGCGAAAGCCAGGGGAGCAAACGGG
rnacentral:rRNA from 1 species